rnacentral:rRNA from 1 species
UUAACCGGAUUAGAUACCCUGGUAGUCCACGCCGUAAACGAUGUCGACUUGGAGGUUGUGCCCUUGAGGCGUGGCUUCCGGAGCUAACGCGUUAAGUCGACCGCCUGGGGAGUACGGCCGCAAGGUUAAAACUCAAAUGAAUUGACGGGGGCCCGCACAAGCGGUGGAGCAUGUGGUUUAAUUCGAUGCAACGCGAAGAACCUUACCUGGUCUUGACGUCCACGGAAGUUUUCAGAGAUGAGAAUGUGCCUUCGGGAACCGUGAGACAGGUGCUGCAUGGCUGUCGUCAGCUCGUGUUGUGAAAUGUUGGGUUAAGUCCCGCAACGAGCGCAACCCUUAUCCUUUGUUGCCAGCGGUCCGGCCGGGAACUCAAAGGAGACUGCCAGUGAUAAACUGGAGGAAGGUGGGGAUGACGUA